rnacentral:lncRNA from 1 species
UUUUUUUUUUUUUUUUAAAUUGACCUUUGGAAUUGGAAGUAUUUCCAUUGCCUGUAGGUCGUGUUUCAGGGUGAGACCGUCCCUCCAGUGAGAUUUUCCAUGUGACUCACUAAAACCCUGCUCUGCACUUUCUGUGGAUCAGGGAAAGUAGCCGUGAGCUGGAAUGUGGUGCGAUGGUGGAGGCUCCUGGGCUGGCCUCACAAGUCCAAGGCCUGGGUUCCCGGGUUAACACCAGAAGGCAGAAAGAGAAGAAGGGUUUGUGCCUCUGAAAUUGGCUUAAGCCUUACAUGACCAGGUUACCUGUGUGUUCACCCCGAAAUCGGAGUAUGUGGCUGGAUUUCUCGAAGGGCGGAGUUACAGAGAGGAUUGCAAAGCAAGCACUUUGCAGAAACUUGGCUUCUCAAAAGGCUUUACAAGAGUCGGGUGUGGUGAUGCACGCCUGUAAUCCCAGCCCUUGAAAAAAGGAGGACGGAGAAUUUGAGACCAGCCCAGCUGUGCACAGAGAGAUCCCUUGGGAAGGGAGUACAGACUUCCUGAGGAUUCGCCCACAUCUCAUCCAGGGCCUUACUCCUGGGAGGCAAGUGCCCUACCAUUGAGCUACUCUGGUUUGGUUUUAAGUCAGGGUUUCCUACAUAGCCCAGGCUGGCUUUGAGUCCAGUAUGUAACCCAUGCUGGCCUCAAAGAUCCUCCUGCCUCAGUCUCCCAAGUGCUAGGAUUAUGGGUGUGACCUCCCUGCACUGCACCUUUUGUUGUUGUUGUUGUUGUUGUUGUUGGCAGGGCGUUGGAAGAUGCAGGGAAGGAAACAGGAUCUCGCUGUGUAUCCUUGACUAGCCCAGAAUUCACUAUAUUGACCAGACUAGCCUCAAACUGAGACAUCUGCCUGCCUCUGCCUCCUGAGUGCUGGGAUUAAAGCCCCCAGGAGCUGCUGUGCACAGCUUCACCUGUCGUGAAAUAUUAGGAAAGGGCUCCAGUGUCUCUUUGGAGCUGUGGUUAGGAUGUUGUUUGAAGCUGGGUUAAAAUGGGUGGGGGUGGGGUGAAUAAGAAAAGGAAUCAAGAAGUUGAUCUGACCUUAAGGUGCGUCACAGAGCACACUCUGAGGUGCUAGAGCAGUCUAGGUGGCCAGGGUGGCAGAGGAGGGACAUGGUGGGCAGAGGCAGGAAUUCUAGGGUUGAAAAACCGAGAUUCCAAACAAAUGGGGAGGAGCCUGGGGUUCCUUGGCAUCAGCUGCAGUUUGGGACAGUUCUGUGAGGAUUCGGGAGGGAGUCUGGCUUUCUGUUUUGCUCUUUUUUAGAGGGGCAGGGGUUGACCUGCCAGUGUAGUGCUGGCAGAGACAGAAUCACAGAGAAGCUAAUGAUCUGAGCAGCCCUGGAAGGAGACUGAAGCUUUAUGGGGAAGAGACAGGCAGGCGGCAUCGACUGCCGCUUUUUAGACCUACAGAGGCAGUGUGCCAAGCUAGCUAGUGGAGCCUUCACUGGAUUCUAAUGCACACCACACUUUUCCAUGUUUGUUUAGGGUUUAUUUGAGUUUGGGGGAGGUUUUGUGAAGUACGGUUUCAUAAUAGAACCCAGGGUAUCCUGGAACUCACUGUCUUCCUGCCCCAGCCUGGAGUACAGGCUUGCCCCACCACACCUCACUCUGCCACACUAUUGUUAACCUUGCCACACUCACUUCCUUUUGCCCAUUCUGUUCCUGGGUCUCACCCAAGAUCCCACAUAACAGCAGUUGUUGUCCUAAAUCUCUGGUCUGUGACAGCCUCUGACUUUCCUUGUUCCUCACGAUCCUGACAGUUUUAUAGCUGCUACUGGUCGGUCACCUGGCACUGGGGAAGCUGAAGGAGAUGGCAAAAGAGGGUUCAAGGGUAGGCUGGGCUCCUUAACGAAACUUUGUGUCAAAACCAGUAAUACAGAAAUCUGUGGGAUUUGGGGAGGGGGCUCAGUGGGUUAAGUGCUUUCCCAAUAUGCCUGAGGACCUGAGUUCUUGUUCCCAGAACCCCUGUAAAGCACUAGAGUUUGUAGGGAGGUGGAGGUAGAGCAGGGAAACCCGGAAGCUAUCAGGUGCUAUGCUUACAAAGCCGCAAAUAAGACACCCUGUCAGAACGUGAAUGCAGGCCGUCCUCUGACCUCCACACGUGUGCCAUAGCACACACAUAUAACACACACAUAGACACACGUAUAACAUACACACACACAACACAUACUGGCUUUUUGUUUUGUUUAGGAAAAAAGGAAAAGAGAGAGAAAGAAGUUCUGGGCUGAGUUCUUUGUAGACUCUAUGCAGUUUAGGUUUUUCUCAGUUUUUCUUAUGGUCUGUCUUACACUAAUUAAAAAAAAAAAUCCAUAUGAGCCUCGAAACAAAGCAAACCCCAGUGAAACAAUGAGGGAAACUCCUUGUUUCCUUUACAGUCACGGGACUGGGCCUUUUGGGGCCAGAUGGCAAAGGAGCUUUUCGCAGCAAAACCAGACUUUCCAUUUGGCUUUUGUUAUCAACAAAAAAGGUAGCUAGGCCAACUGCAGGCGGGGCCUCCCGGCUGGGAGAACCGCCUCUGGACCUACAUCUCCAUCCACUGCUGCUUGCAAUCCAGUGUUGUCUAAGGGCGGGGCUGAGCAUCUGCAUCAAGCUUGCCCAUGUCUGAUGUGACAGACGAGGACUUGGCAGUUUUGUGGCUGAUGUGACUACUUAUUGUUCUUGUUCUUGUGAUAAGUUAUCU